CGUGACCUCCUCUUCCGGGGCCCGCGAGGGCGACCUAAGGCCCAGUGGCCUCUCUCCGCGUGGUUCUCCGUUGCUCCUCGUCUCUCCCUCUUUCGUCGGCUCCGCGGCGGCGCGAUCCUGCGUCCCACCCAUUCCUCGAUCACCCCGGUCGCGCAACUGCGGCUCCCACGCCGUCCGCCCGCCCGGGCGCGGCAGCCCCGCGGCCGCGUGCACCGGGAGGCCCCGGCGACCCCGUCCUGUCGGCGCGGGGGAGCCCCUGCUCUCCGCGCCGCAGCCUCCUGGCUCCAGCUAAGGCAGGCCUGCAGGGUGGUGGGCGGCCCGGUUCCCAGGUCACCUUCAGCCUACAGUGACACGGACUUUUCAGCGUGUCGCUUGGGCCGCUGCAAAGUAGAGGCGGGAAAGGGUUUUCGUGGGGGUGCACUCAGCAAGUUGUCGGCCUCUCCCCAACCCCAGGCCCAAGGUGAGGCUCAACCCUAUGUAUCUCAUUUCCAGUGUUAAUGAGAUUUUUAUCCUAGGAUUAAGGAGGCUGCCCCGAAUCCACUUUCUCUGCCUUUAGCCAAGAGGCUUCACGAUGGAGUGAUCAGAGACAUUGAGAGGCAGAAUCG